rnacentral:rRNA from 1 species
ACGAGCUCCAGCUUAAAACUCAAAGGACUUGACGGUAUCCUAACCAACUAGAGGAGCCUGUUCUAUAAUCGAUAAUCCACGAUAUACCUAACCACUUCUUGCUUAUCAGCCUGUAUACCUCCGUCGCAAGCUUACCAUUUGAAUGCGCUAGUAAUGCUUAAGGGCCUCAACGCCAAAACGUCAGGUCAAGGUGCAGCUCACGAAGUGGGAGCAAUGAGCUACAAUUUCUAGCAUAGAACAAACAAAACAUUACAUGAAACAUAAUUACAAGGUGGAUUUAGCAGUAAGUAAGAAGUAGCGAGCCUUACUAAACCCGGCCAUAGGAUGUGUACACACC